CAUCAAAUCCUUUUUGAUUCUCACAUCUGUUCACACACAUACAUAACUAGGGUUCAAUAGAGUAGAAUCAAAAGAAAACGAAGAAGAAUGAGAGAAUCCUAGAGCAUGCUCAUUUCAAACGAGUUGAUAUUCCAUCAUCAACGAAAAAUGGAGUUAACUUCCGGCCACCGUGCCGCUGUUGUUGUUUCAGACGAACAAAACAAACCCAAACGACGGAACUAUUCGAUUUUUUUAUGUCCUAUUGAUUUUUUUUUGGUUCAUUCCGUCUCAUUGAAUCGCUUUCUCUCUGAACGCACUAUAACCAUCAGAAAUAUUUCAUUAUUUCAGACGAAGUGAGCUGGCAAACGAAAAGAUUACCAGUUAUAGUGAAAGACAUGCGUGUAUCACUUGAUGGUGAUCUGAUCAAAUGGGACAAGGCAAAAAUCGGAUACCAUGUAGGCAUUGAUGUAGCAGAGGGCUCGGUCAUGGAUUUCAAUCUUCAUGUAGGUAGAUUUGGAACUACAUGUCUUAUGUGUAUGCAUAGAAUUUCUACGGUUCCGGUUGCAUGUAUGGAUUGAAGACGUUGGUUUGGGUUGAAAGUAUGAAGACAUCGGUUCGGAAAGUUAUUGCAUAUGUAUUUUUGUUACUUUAAAACUUUUGUAAUAUUGUGUUACUUUGAAACCUUUGUAUUUUAUAUUCUUGGGUUAUAUUAUAUUGGUUCUAAUUUAA